rnacentral:lncRNA from 1 species
UUAUAGCCAAUGUUCCUGACAAAUUGGUGGCCUUGAAUGCGAGAGAGUUUUUCUCAUUUUCUCUUCCGUUCGUUUUCUUCAAAUUUUCCCGUCCUUUCUUUUAUUUUAUUUUAAUAUUUAUUUUUCUUCUUUUUCUCUCCUCCACUAACGAGGGAAACCCAUCAAUAUAAAGUCGUACUAUAACAUGUGAUGCUUCAUAAUAUUCUAAACUAUUCUUGCUUAGAGCAACUCCACCCAUUUGCCCUUAGCCAUGGCAAGGGGGGAGCUAGGGCAGCCACUAUUCACGUGAA